AGUGAACGCUGGCGGUAGGCCUAACACAUGCAAGUCGAACGGCAGCACAGUAAGAGCUUGCUCUUACGGGUGGCGAGUGGCGGACGGGUGAGGAAUACAUCGGAAUCUACUUUUUCGUGGGGGAUAACGUAGGGAAACUUACGCUAAUACCGCAUACGACCUACGGGUGAAAGCAGGGGAUCUUCGGACCUUGCGCGAUUGAAUGGGCCGAUGUCGGAUUAGCUAGUUGGCGGGGUAAAGGCCCACCAAGGCGACGAUCCGUAGCUGGUCUGAGAGGAUGAUCAGCCACACUGGAACUGAGGCACGGUCCAGACUCCUACGGGAGGCAGCAGUGGGGAAUAUUGGACAAUGGGCGCAAGCCUGAUCCAGCCAUACCGCGUGGGUGAAGAAGGCCUUCGGGUUGUAAAGCCCUUUUGUUGGGAAAGAAAAGCAGCAGGUUAAUACCCCGCUGUUCUGACGGUACCCAAAGAAUAAGCACCGGCUAACUUCGUG
rnacentral:rRNA from 1 species